GUUCUCUAUCAGGUUCUCUACUACGCUCCUUUGAUCGUCGAUCAUCAUGACGAUCAACCUUGCGGCUUUUGUUUCUUUCUUCCUGAAGCUCUGCUAACUUUUCACGUAUUUGCAUGUAGCCGAGAUGAAGUUUUCCACCAAAAUGAUCUGCCAAACGACGAUCACUGUCAUAAACGCUUAAAAAUGCCCCGCAGAUGUCACACACACGCAGCUUUUGAUCCGUAAUUCGCACAUCAGCAGCUGUAUACUUGGAUGAAUCCAUCACUGGCUCCUGCCUAGCAGGCAGCUUCUUAAGUGCUUCAGCUUCCUCCAGUGCUUUUUGAGC
rnacentral:misc_RNA from 1 species